UACGAAGGGGGCUAGCGUUGCUCGGAAUUACUGGGCGUAAAGCGCACGUAGGCGGCUCUUUAAGUCGGGGGUGAAAUCCUGGAGCUCAACUCCAGAACUGCCUUCGAUACUGAAGAGCUCGAGUCCGGGAGAGGUGAGUGGAACUGCGAGUGUAGAGGUGAAAUUCGUAGAUAUUCGGAAGAACACCAGUGGCGAAGGCGACUCACUGGACACGUAUUGACGCUGAGGUGCGAAAGCGUGGGGAGCAAACAGG
rnacentral:rRNA from 1 species